GACGAACGCUGGCGGCGUGCCUAACACAUGCAAGUCGAACGGAACUGUUUUGAAAGAUUUCUUCGGAAUGAAUUUGAUUUAGUUUAGUGGCGGACGGGUGAGUAACGCGUGAGUAACCUGCCUUCAAGAGGGGAAUAACAUUCUGAAAAGAAUGCUAAUACCGCAUGACAUAUCGGAACCACAUGGUUUUGAUAUCAAAGAUUUUAUCGCUUGAAGAUGGACUCGCGUCCGAUUAGUUAGUUGGUGAGGUAACGGCUCACCAAGACCGCGAUCGGUAGCCGGACUGAGAGGUUGAACGGCCACAUUGGGACUGAGACACGGCCCAGACUCCUACGGGAGGCAGCAGUGGGGGAUAGUGCGCAAUGGGGGCAACCCUGACGCAGCAACGCCGCGUGAAGGAUGAAGGUUUUCGGAUUGUAAACUUCUUUUAUUAAGGACGAAAAAUGACGGUACUUAAUGAAUAAGCGCCGGCUAACUACGUG
rnacentral:rRNA from 1 species